rnacentral:rRNA from 1 species
GACGUAGGGCGCGAGCGUUGUCCGGAUUUAUUGGGCGUAAAGAGCUCGUAGGCGGCUUGUCGCGUCGACCGUGAAAACUUGGGGCUCAACCCCAAGCCUGCGGUCGAUACGGGCAGGCUAGAGUUCGGUAGGGGAGACUGGAAUUCCUGGUGUAGCGGUGAAAUGCGUAGAUAUCAGGAGGAACACCGGUGGCGAAGGCGGCUAUCUGGACAGAAACUGACGCUGAGGCGCGAAAGCUAGGGGAGCAAACAGG